GACGAACGCUGGCGGCGUGCUUAACACAUGCAAGUCGAACGGAAAGGCCCUGCUUUUGUGGGGUGCUCGAGUGGCGAACGGGUGAGUAACACGUGAGUAACCUGCCCUUGACUUUGGGAUAACUUCAGGAAACUGGGGCUAAUACCGGAUAGGAGCUCCUGCUGCAUGGUGGGGGUUGGAAAGUUUCGGCGGUUGGGGAUGGACUCGCGGCUUAUCAGCUUGUUGGUGGGGUAGUGGCUUACCAAGGCUUUGACGGGUAGCCGGCCUGAGAGGGUGACCGGCCACAUUGGGACUGAGAUACGGCCCAGACUCCUACGGGAGGCAGCAGUGGGGAACAUUGCACAAUGGGCGGAAGCCUGAUGCAGCAACGCCGCGUGCGGGAUGACGGCCUUCGGGUUGUAAACCGCUUUCGCCUGUGACGAAGCGUGAGUGACGGUAAUGGGUAAAGAAGCACCGGCUAACUACGUGCCAGCAGCCGCGGUGAUACGUAGGGUGCGAGCGUUGUCCGGAUUUAUUGGGCGUAAAGGGCUCGUAGGUGGUUGAUCGCGUCGGAAGUGUAAUCUUGGGGCUUAACCCUGAGCGUGCUUUCGAUACGGGUUGACUUGAGGAAGGUAGGGGAGAAUGGAAUUCCUGGUGGAGCGGUGGAAUGCGCAGAUAUCAGGAGGAACACCAGUGGCGAAGGCGGUUCUCUGGGCCUUUCCUGACGCUGAGGAGCGAAAGCGUGGGGAGCGAACAGGCUUAGAUACCCUGGUAGUCCACGCUGUAAACGGUGGGUACUAGGUGUGGGGUCCAUUCCACGGGUUCCGUGCCGUAGCUAACGCUUUAAGUACCCCGCCUGGGGAGUACGGCCGCAAGGCUAAAACUCAAAGGAAUUGACGGGGCCCCGCACAAGCGGCGGAGCAUGCGGAUUAAUUCGAUGCAACGCGCAGAACCUUACCUGGGUUUGACAUGGAUCGGGAGUGCUCAGAGAUGGGUGUGCCUCUUUUGGGGUCGGUUCACAGGUGGUGCAUGGCUGUCGUCAGCUCGUGUCGUGAGAUGUUGGGUUAAGUCCCGCAACGAGUGCAACCCUUGUUCACUGUUGCCAGCACGUUAUGGUGGGGACUCAGUGGAGACCGCCGGGGUCAACUCGGAGGAAGGUGGGGAUGACGUCAAGUCAUCAUGCCCCUCAUGUCCAGGGCUUCACGCAUGCUACAAUGGCUGGUACAGAGAGUGGCGAACCUGUGAGGGUGAGCGAAUCUCGGAAAGCCGGUCUCAGUUCGGAUUGGGGUCUGCAACUCGACCUCAUGAAGUCGGAGUCGCUAGUAAUCGCAGAUCAGCAACGCUGCGGUGAAUACGUUCCCGGG
rnacentral:rRNA from 1 species